CCUACGGGUGGCAGCAGUGAGGAAUAUUGGUCAAUGGACGGAAGUCUGAACCAGCCAAGCAGCGUGCAGGAUGACGGCUCUAUGAGUUGUCAACUGCUUUUGUACAAGGGUAAACCUGAAUACGUGUAUUCCGCUGCAAGUACUGUAUGAAUAAGGAUCGGCUAACUCCGUGCCAGCAGCCGCGGUAAUACGGAGGAUCCCAGCUUUAACCGGAUUUAUUGGGUUUAAAGGGAGCGUAGGCGGAUUGUUAAGUUCGCGGUGAAAUGUCCGAGCUUAACUCGGGAACUGCCUCUAAUACUGGUGAUCUAGAGAGUAGGGGCGGUAGGCGGAA
rnacentral:rRNA from 1 species